UACAGAGGGGGCAAGCGUUGUUCGGAAUUACUGGGCGUAAAGGGCGCGUAGGCGCCUGUUAAGUCGAACGUGAAAUCCCCGGGCUCAACCCGGGAACUGCGUCCGAUACUGGCAGGCUUGAAGUCCGGGAGAGGGAUGCGGAAUCCAGGUGUAGCGGUGAAAUGCGUAGAUAAUCUGGAGGAACACCGGUGGCGGAAGGCGGCAUCCUGG
rnacentral:rRNA from 1 species